GCAUUGGUGGUUCAGUGGUAGAAUCCUCGCCUGCCACGCGGGGGGCCCGGGUUCGAAAAAAAAGCCAAUGCA
rnacentral:tRNA from 1 species